GGCAACCGCGGGACUCCUGGAGAAAUGGUGGGCGGUCCAAACGGUGAGCAGCACGCUCCUUACUUAGGUCAUGACCUCUGCCGACUAAAAAGGCUAAACUCAGCGUGGAUUAGGGCUAUACCAGGUACUGGACUCUUCUAGAGUACUGUCACAUCGGUUUGGUCUCUCCUCGUGGUAAACAGAUAACUGGAACAACUGACUUUCCUCUAGAGGAUUUGAACUGGAGGAGGCUUGAAGUUGAACAAUGGAACUCUCAGUACCAACUUCCCUUUACAGUCUGAUCUCAGAAAUCUGACAGCCAGUUGUAUUCCCCCAGACCCUCUACCUUCACCUGUAAGUCUAAGUGGCAGGAAUUUCGCAACUCCAAAAAGUGAUGCCGAAAAAUAUUGGAGCAAUGUCUUCAAAAUUGUAAGAGUAUACACCCAACUAAACUGUUGACAAGUAGCAUAAAGGGUAGAAUAAAGAUUUUUCCCUGGCCAGGUGUGGUAGCUCACACCUGUGAUCCCAGAACUUUGGGAGACCAAGGCUGGAAGAUUGCUUGAGCCGAGGAGUUUGGGACCAGCCUGGGCAACAUAGGAAGAUUCUGUCUCCACAAAAUUUUAAAAAAUUAGCUGAGCGUGGUGGCAUGCGCCUGUGGUCCCAGCUACUCAUAGGGUGAGGCGUGAGGAUCGCUUUAAUCCGGGAAGUCAAAGUUGCAGUGAGCCAGGAUGGUGCCACUGCACUCCAGCCUGGGUGACAGAGUAAGACCUUGUCUAAAAAAAAAAAAAAA
rnacentral:lncRNA from 1 species